UCGUGACAGUAAAAAUAAAAUUCUGACACAGGGUUGCCGUGAGGUUACAUGCUUUCUGGGUAUGCUUAGAAUUGAAGAAAAAAAACGACAUUUUAUUAUUACGUCACCAUUUGCAAUAGAGCAUGAUAUUUUGAUUCAACAGUUUUCUAUUUUGGUCACGUAAAAUAUAUCUGUAUCAAGGAAACACAAUCGGAUUUUUUUUUUUUUGGAAUUGCAUUUUUUUUUCUUUUCUUUUAAAGAAAAUGUUUCGAACAGUAAAUUCCUAUGAUGUAAAACUUAAAUUUUUAGAAUUUGAUGCCGAGUAACGAAAUAAUGUAAGCGUUAAAAAGUUUGUCACCUGUGUGGCUGGAUGUCUACUUGAAGAUGACCGAUGUUGGCUAUCGGCCUAUCACAACAUCGGAACGUUUAGGAGAGUCGUCUGCUUAAAAUAACCCUCUCCACACUCCCCCUCUCAUCUUCUGAGGAAAACUCUUCUUCUUCUGAUCAUCUUCAUUAUUAACGAGGAAGUUAAAAGAUGAGG